ACGUCCGCGAGGCUCCCGGGCCCGCCGGCGUCUGUGGGGAACUGGGGCGCUGGUCGGUGCGCGGGCUGGGACGCUAAGUCAUGAGGAAUUAAACUGGGAAACCUGGCGUGGGUCCAGGCGCCUUCCAGGAGGCAUCCGGCGCGGCCCGGACGUGCUUCUACCCAGAACCACCCCCUCCAGGCCGGGGUGCACUUAACGGGGCUAUACAAAGAGUCUGGUGGGUGACUGUGGGCCUCAUCCCUAUCCCGGGGUCUGAUAGGGAAGACUCUCGGGCCCCGCAGGGAAUAUCUGGCUAGUGCACCCUCGGCGGGAGCGCCACUCUCCCUCCUUGGGCGGCGCCCCCCACCUCUCAUCCCGCCCAAUCCGUUUUGCAAAGUCGGCCAAAACAAAAACAAACUUGGAGCGCUGAUAGACACUGUUAUUGCCCAUCUGAACUCGUCAACUGAGAAGGAAAGAGAUGGUUUAUGCUGUGAAUAAAAUACAGUUGUGCUGUGAUGUAAAUCCCCUCAUCCUGGAGCAGCUGAGCAAGGUCUAAGGCAGGAAGAACCUUCAAGCAGGUCAUGGCUUGCAGGCUCAACUCUGCCUGGCAGUGGCAAGGGCCAGGGCCAGUGACUGAAGCAACAAACUGCCAGAUGACUGCAGCUCAAGCCAAUGCACAAAGCCACUGCAACAAGAGAGGAAAUUCUUCCAUUUCCAAGUGUGUCGAUUUCUCCCCAUCAAGGAAAACAGCUAAGGCAAUGUGUUGAUAUUUUCUUUGACCAAGUCAUCAGGAGUCACAUAGACAUACAGCACUCAAGAAGUGGCUGUAACUAAAGGCACAUCUCGUUCAUCUACAACCCUUGUAAUCCCAACCUUUGUCUGAUGCACAAACCCUUCCCUAGUUCUCCCCACCACCACCACUGCACCUCCAAGUGGGGACAACGAAUUGUUUCAUUUGCAUGUGGUUUUUCUCAUGAAAAAUAUCAUUAACAUGAGACAGCCCCAAACCAAGGAAACCAGAAGUGGGGUUUGUGCUUGGUCUUACUGAGAGCUUUCCCUACUUGACCAGACCCCAGCAUUGUUCUAGAUUUGUCUCUUGUGGGCUACAGGAAUGCAAACAUUUUGUAGUUUCCUCUUUUUUGUUUUCUUAAUGGCUUGAUGAGCCACACAUGUUUCUCUAAAUGCAUGAUUUUAAAUUCACACAAUUUCUGCCAACUAAA
rnacentral:lncRNA from 1 species